rnacentral:rRNA from 1 species
UACGUAGGGGGCAAGCGUUGUCCGGAUUCAUUGGGCGUAAAGAGCGUGUAGGCGGCCAGGUAGGUCGGUUGUGAAAACUGGAGGCUCAACCUUCAGAGGUCGACCGAAACCAUCUGGCUAGAGUCCGGGAGAGGAGAGUGGAAUUCCUGGUGUAGCGGUGAAAUGCGCAGAUAUCAGGAGGAACACCGGUGGCGAAGGCGGUUCUCUGGGCCUGUACUGACGCUGGAGGAGCGAAAGCGUGGGGAGCGAACAGG